UUUUAGGGGUGCAUCGCCGGCAUCGGCCGGCGGGGCUGAGAUCAAACCCUUUUAACUUGAUCCGGUUAGUACCGGCGUAAGAAACAU
rnacentral:ncRNA from 1 species